rnacentral:tRNA from 1 species
GCGCGUGUAGCUCAGGUGGUUAGAGCGUUACAUUGACAUUGUAAAGGCCCCUGGUUCGAGUCCAGGCAUGCGCA